AACGAACGCUGGCGGCAUGCCUAACACAUGCAAGUCGAACGAGACCUUCGGGUCUAGUGGCGCACGGGUGCGUAACGCGUGGGAACCUGCCCUUAGGUUCGGAAUAACUCCCCGAAAGGGGUGCUAAUACCGGAUAAUGUCUUCGGACCAAAGAUUUAUCGCCUUUGGAUGGGCCCGCGUUGGAUUAGCCAGUUGGUAGGGUAAAAGCCUGCCAAGGCGACGAUCCAUAGCUGGUCUGAGAGGAGGAUCAGCCACACUGGGACUGAGACACGGCCCAGACUCCUACGGGAGGCAGCAGUAGGGAAUAUUGGACAAGGAGCGAAAGCCUGAUCCAGCAAUGCCGCGUGAGUGAUGAAGGCCUUAGGGUUGUAAAGCUCUUUUACCCGGGAUGAUAAUGACAGUACCGGGAGAAUAAGCACCGGCUAACUCCGUG
rnacentral:rRNA from 1 species